rfam:Oryza sativa Japonica Group DNA, chromosome 2, cultivar: Nipponbare, complete sequence.
AAUGUUUGACACCGUUGACUUUUUAGCACAUGUUUGGCCGUUCGUCUUAUUCAAAAAAUUUAAGUAAUUAUUAAUUCUUUUCCUAUCAUUUGAUUCAUUAUUAAAUAUAUUUUUAUGUAGGCAUAUAAUUUUACAUAUUUAACAAAAGCUUUUGAAUAAGACGAACGGUCAAACAUGUGCCUAAAAAGUCACGGUGUCAAAUAUU